rnacentral:lncRNA from 1 species
AGUUUUACUACAGGUUUUACACGCUUUUUCUGUUGCCUAUGAAGCCAGGGGGCGUAUAUGUCACAUCAUAAAUGCAUUUAGUAAAAUGGAAACGUUUCUAGCAUUCCGUACGGAUAAAAUGCUCGCGCAUCAGGAUGUUUGCUUCACAGCAACUUUUCGCGCAGACUAAUUCCCGCUCAAUUUUAUUUUUGCGCCAACCUAAGGUCUGCGCGAAUUCUAAUACGCACUUGAAAUUAAAUACAAGUAUCUCAAAUACAAAUAAUAAUUAACAAAUAAUUUACAUUUGACGGGCUUCGCACAGCGUGAAUUAUACUCAACCGCUUCAGGCACAUACCGUGUGACAUGCAAGCUCGAAAGUACCGUAUACACUUGAAUACGUAUAAUAUUUAUGGUUUACGUUAACAAUUAUAGCGCGCAAGAAUAAGUAUACCCAUAUAGUUAGUGUGUAAUACAAUAUUUUAUGCUUCAGCAUAUUCAUGCACGCAUGAAUGAUGCAUGCCUUCAUGAUAUGGAUAUAUAGUUAAUAAAGCUAGUAAGUGGGAAAAUUCUUCCCAUUUAUGCCGCUUCUACAUUUCGAACACAACUAUUCGACAGAUCGCAAGAAAAAUAG